CCAGCAGCCGCGGUAAUUCCAGCUCCAAUAGCGUAUAUUAAAGUUGUUGCAGUUAAAAAGCUCGUAGUUGGAUUUCUGGCAGGAGCGUCCGGUCUCACACUCAGUGCGGGAACUUGGAUGUCUCUGGCCAUCUUUGGGGAUAUCCUGUUUGGCAUUAAGUUGUCGGGCAGGGGAUACCCAUCGUUUACUGUGAAAAAAUUAGAGUGUUUAAAGCAGGCUUAUGCCGUUGAAUAUAUUAGCAUGGAAUAAUAAGAUAGGACGUAGGUACUAUUUUGUUGGUUUGCGCACCCACGUAAUGAUUAAUAGAGACAGGCGGGGCUAUUCGUAUUGCAUUGUCAGAGGUGAAAUUCUUGGAUUUCUGCAAGACGAACUACUGCGAAAGCAUUUAGCAAGGAUGUUUUCAUUAAUCAAGAACGAAAGU
rnacentral:rRNA from 1 species